UUACGACCACAUCACGUUGAAAUACCUGUUCCCGUAUGAUCACCGUAGUUAAGCAACGUCGAGCCUAGUCACUGCCUUGUUGGGUGACCGCUUGUGAAUACUAGGUGUUGUAAG